rnacentral:rRNA from 1 species
GAUGAACGCUGGCGGCGUGCCUAAUACAUGCAGGUCGAGCGAACAGACGAGGAGCUUGCUCCUUUGACGUUAGCGGCGGACGGGUGAGUAACACGUGGGUAACCUACCUAUAAGACUGGGAUAACUUCGGGAAACCGGAGCUAAUACCGGAUAAUAUUUCGAACCGCAUGGUUCGAUAGUGAAAGAUGGCUUUGCUAUCACUUAUAGAUGGACCUGCGCCGUAUUAGCUAGUUGGUAAGGUAACGGCUUACCAAGGCAACGAUACGUAGCCGACCUGAGAGGGUGAUCGGCCACACUGGAACUGAGACACGGUCCAGACUCCUACGGGAGGCAGCAGUAGGGAAUCUUCCGCAAUGGGCGAAAGCCUGACGGAGCAACGCCGCGUGAGUGAUGAAGGUCUUCGGAUCGUAAAACUCUGUUAUUAGGGAAGAAUAAACGUGUAAGUAACUGUGCACGUCUUGACGGUACCUAAUCAGAAAGCCACGGCUAACUACGUG